UUGAAGUGGAAGUGCGAAGACAGCUAGGAUGUUGGCUUAGAAGCAGCCAUCAUUUAAAAAGUGCGUAACAGCUUACUAGUCGAGCCCUUCCGCGCCGAAAAUUGGCGGGACUCAAGUCCGCUACCGAAGCCGCGGGUUUGGAGAGACUGCGGUCUCUCCAAGCGGUAGGGGAGCGUUCCACCCUAGGAUGAAGGCGUACCGUAAGGAGCGCUGGACGAAGUGGAAGCGAUGAUGCUGGAAUAAGUAGCGAUAAGAUGAGUGAGAAUCUCAUCCGCCGAAAACCUAAGGUUUCCUGGGGAAGGCAAUUCCGCCCAGGGUUAGUCGGCCCCUAAGGCGAGGCCGAAAGGCGUAGUCGAUGGACAGCAGGUUAAUAUUCCUGCACCGCUCAUGAUGGGUUGAUGAUGGGGUGACGGAGGCUCGAUUGCCUACGGGCGACUGAUUGUGCCCGGUGGCUGGGGGAGGACCGCCGCAGGUAAAUCCGCGGCAUACGGUUCGAACUCGGCGACGAAUUCCUUUUUGAGAAGAAGUGGCUUGAAGGCUUCCCAAGAAAAACCUCGGUUCGUACUUUCAUGAGCGACCGUACUAAAACUGACACAGGUAGGUGGGGUGAGUAUCCUAAGGCGCUCGGGGGAACUGUGGUAAAGGAACUCGGCAAAAUGGCCCCGUAACUUCGGGAUAAGGGGCGCCCCUUGGAGAAGGCUUCGUAAGAAGAACCGGGGGGCUGCAGGAAUCGGUUGUUACGACUGUUUACUAAAAACACAGGUCUCUGCCAAGUCCACAAAGACGACGUAUAGAGACUGACGCUUGCUCGGUGCCGGAAGGUCAAGGUGAGGGGUCAGCCCGCAAGGGCGAAGCUCCGAGCCGAAGCCCCGGUUAACGGCGGCCGUAACUAUGACGGUCCUAAGGUAGCGAAGUUCCUUGUCGGGUAAGUUCCGACGCGCAAGAGCGUAACGUAGCAACGCUGUCUCUACCGCAGACCCGGCGAAAUUGUAGUAGCGGUGAAGAUGCCGCUUACCCGCAGUUAGACGGAAAGACCCCGUGAACCUUCACUGUAGCCUAUUAUUGAGUUUGGGUGUGGCAUGUGUAGGAUAGGUGGGAGGCAUUGAAGCUGGGACGCCAGUCUCAGCAGAGCCGCCGGUGAAAUACCACCCUUGUUGCAUCUAAAUUCUAACUCGAUUCCUUGAACCAGGGUCCAGGACAGUGAUAGGUGGGCAGUUUGGCUGGGGCGGCUUCCUCCUAAAGAGUAACGGAGGAGCCCAAAGGCACCUUCAGCGCGGUUGGCAAUCGCGCGGAGAGCGUAAGGGUAUAAGGGUGCCUGACUGUGAGACCAAUAAGUCGAGCAGAGGUGAAAGCCGGGCCUAAUGAUCCGGCGUUACCGGGUGGAAGGGACGUCGCUCAUCAGAUAAAAGGUACUCCGGGGAUAACAGGCUGAUCU
rnacentral:rRNA from 1 species